GCUAGAAAAGCAAUGACUAAGGGUCAGGACAAGAACAAAUACAUAUUCCAGGCAGAGGGAAAGCCAUGAAGAAACUUCAUCUCCAGAUUCUAAAACCCAGGACAAGCCCUUAGCAAGGCUUUGAGGAAGCAAGUGAACAUCUUGGGCAAUCCCAACAAGGAAGUAACAUGGCCUCUAUGGGGUGAGGGUAGCUUCCAGCUGACAGCCAGCAAGAAACAGAAGACCUCAAUCUUAUAGAUGCAAAGACCUGAAUUAUGCCUAUAAUGUGAGUGAGCUUAGAAGUUAUUUUUUCCCCCAGUCAAGCAUCUGAUGAGACCACAGCCCUGGCUGGCAUCUUGUACAGUCUUGUGAAACCUUAAGAACAGGAUCCAGCUAAACCAUAGCCAGCAUCUUGAGCCACAGAAGUUGUGAGAUAAUAAAUAUAUGUUGUUUUAAGCUGC
rnacentral:lncRNA from 10 species